AGUGAACGCUGGCGGCGUGCCUAAUACAUGCAAGUCGAACGAUGAAGCUUUUAGCUUGCUAGAAGUGGAUUAGUGGCGCACGGGUGAGUAAGGUAUAGUUAAUCUGCCCUACACUGGGGGACAACACUUAGAAAUGAGUGCUAAUACCCCAUACUCCUAUUUAACAUAAGUUAGGUAGGGAAAGUUUUUCGGUGUAGGAUGAGACUAUAUAGUAUCAGCUAGUUGGUAAGGUAAAGGCUUACCAAGGCUAUGACGC
rnacentral:rRNA from 1 species